GUUCAACUAGUCUUUAGGCGAUGCACUCUAUUCGCAGAAUGACCCAUAAAGGUCAAUACUUUGUUAUUACUCCUCUUGUAUAGACAUUAGUUCAACUAGUCUUUAGGCGAUGCACUCUAUUCGCAGAAUGACCCAUAAAGGUCAAUACUUUGUUAUUACUCCUCUUGUAUAGACAUUAGUUCAACUAGUCUUUAGGCGAUGCACUCUAUUCGCAGAAUGACCCAUAAAGGUCAAUACUUUGUUAUUACUCCUCUUGUAUAGACAUUAGUUCAACUAGUCUUUAGGCGAUGCACUCUAUUCGCAGAAUGACCCAUAAAGGUCAAUACUUUGUUAUUACUCCUCUUGUAUAGACAUUAGUUCAACUAGUCUUUAGGCGAUGCACUCUAUUCGCAGAAUGACCCAUAAAGGUCAAUACUUUGUUAUUACUCCUCUUGUAUAGACAUUAGUUCAACUAGUCUUUAGGCGAUGCACUCUAUUCGCAGAAUGACCCAUAAAGGUCAAUACUUUGUUAUUACUCCUCUUGUAUAGACAUUAGUUCAACUAGUCUUUAGGCGAUGCACUCUAUUCGCAGAAUGACCCAUAAAGGUCAAUACUUUGUUAUUACUCCUCUUGUAUAGACAUUAGUUCAACUAGUCUUUAG